UACGAACCGUACAAACGUUGUCCGGAAUCACUGGGCGUAAAGGGCGCGUAGGCGGCCCGAUAAGUAGGGGGUGAAAUCUUGCGGCUCAACCGCAAGGCUGCCUUCUAAACUGUCGGGCUGGAGCACGGUAGAGGCAGAUGGAAUUCCCGGUGUAGCGGUGGAAUGCGUAGAGAUCGGGAAGAACACCAGUGGCGAAGGCGGUCUGCUGGGCCGUUGCUGACGCUGAGGCGCGACAGCGUGGGGAGCAAACAGG
rnacentral:rRNA from 1 species